rnacentral:lncRNA from 1 species
ACCAAGGAUCUCAAAUCAAAAGACCCUAGGUCUCUAUCACUUAUGGUUUACCAGUUAGAAAUGCAAAUCACUUAUAUCAAAUACAUAAGGGGGAAUAACUCUCAUAUGGAGUCUCCGGAUAGCUUCGGUCAAAACUAAACUACUAAUCCUGAAGAUGUAACGAGCAAUUUGGUAAAAUAAAUUUGUCGUAAUCUUUUACGGUUGCGAAGGAGUAGUGGCCACAAGAAAAA